AUUGAACGCUGGCGGCAGGCCUAACACAUGCAAGUCGAGCGGAUGAGUGGAGCUUGCUCCAUGAUUCAGCGGCGGACGGGUGAGUAAUGCCUAGGAAUCUGCCUGGUAGUGGGGGACAACGUUUCGAAAGGAACGCUAAUACCGCAUACGUCCUACGGGAGAAAGCAGGGGACCUUCGGGCCUUGCGCUAUCAGAUGAGCCUAGGUCGGAUUAGCUAGUUGGUGAGGUAAUGGCUCACCAAGGCGACGAUCCGUAACUGGUCUGAGAGGAUGAUCAGUCACACUGGAACUGAGACACGGUCCAGACUCCUACGGGAGGCAGCAGUGGGGAAUAUUGGACAAUGGGCGCAAGCCUGAUCCAGCCAUGCCGCGUGCAGGAUGAAGGCCCUUCGGGUUGGUUAACUAGACUUUGUACGGUAACGAACGGUAGA
rnacentral:rRNA from 1 species